rnacentral:rRNA from 1 species
CCAUGGGAUGAGCUGUGGAUAGCGGAGAAAUUCCAAUCGAACUCGGAGAUAGCUGGUUCUCCUCGAAAUAGCUUUAGGGCUAGCGUCGGGUAAUUGAGUAGUGGAGGUAGAGCACUGAAUGGGCUAGGGGCUGACAACAGUUACUGAACCCUAUCAAACUCCGAAUGCCAUAUACUUGUACCCCGGCAGUCAGACUACGAAUGAUAAGAUCCGUGGUCAAAAGGGAAACAGCCCAGACCAUCAGCUAAGGUCCCAAAGUGUAAGUUAAGUGGGAAAGGAUGUGGGAUUUCUAAGACAACUAGGAUGUUGGCUUAGAAGCAGCCACUCAUUUAAAGAGUGCGUAAUAGCUCACUAGUCGAGAGAUCCUGCGCCGAAGAUGUAACGGGGCUCAAACUUACCACCGAAGCUAUGGAUGUGUACUAUGUACACGUGGUAGAGGAGCUUUCUGUACAGGUUGAAGUCAUACCGUAAGGAGUGGUGGACAGUACAGAAGUGAGAAUGCUGGCAUAAGUAGCGAAAAACAAGUGAGAAUCUUGUUGACCGAAUAUCUAAGGUUUCCUGGGGAAGGCUCGUCCUCCCAGGGUUAGUCGGGACCUAAGCCGAGGCCGAAAGGCGUAGGUGAUGGACAACUGGUUGAUAUUCCAGUACCACCAUAAUGCGUUUGACAAAUGGGAUGACGCAGGAGGAUAGGAUGUGCGCACUAUUGGAUGUGCGUCUAAGCACUUAGGGUGUUAAGUAGGCAAAUCCGCUUAACAUUAAGCCUGAGGUGUGAUGGGGAGCCUAUUUUGGCGAAGUAUCUGAUUCCACGCUGCCAAGAAAAGUCUCUAUGGAGCAAAAUGGUGCCCGUACCGCAAACCGACACAGGUAGAUGAGGAGAGAAUCCUAAGGUCGUCGGAAGAAUUAUUGCUAAGGAACUCGGCAAAUUGACCCCGUAACUUAGGGAGAAGGGGUGCCUACGAGAGUAGGCCGCAGUGAAUAGGCUCAAGCAACUGUUUAUCAAAAACACAGGUCUCUGCUAAAGCGUAAGCUGAUGUAUAGGGGCUGACGCCUGCCCGGUGCUGGAAGGUUAAGGGGAAUAGUUAGCGCAAGCGAAGCUAUGAACUUAAGCCCCAGUAAACGGCGGCCGUAACUAUAACGGUCCUAAGGUAGCGAAAUUCCUUGUCGGGUAAGUUCCGACCCGCACGAAUGGCGUAAUGAUUUGAGCACUGUCUCGGCAAUAAAUCCGGUGAAAUUGUAGUGCAAGUGAAGAUGCUUGCUACCCGCGGUUGGACGGAAAGACCCCGUAGAGCUUUACUGUAGCUUAGCAUUGAAUUUCGGUAUUGUCUGUACAGGAUAGGUGGGAGACUUAGAAGCGAGGGCGUCAGCUUUCGUGGAGUCGUCCUUGGGAUACCACCCUGACAGUACUGGAAUUCUAACUGGAGGCCAUGAAUCUGGUCACAGGACAUUGCUAGG